rnacentral:rRNA from 1 species
GUGCCAGCAGCCGCGGUAAUACGUAGGGUGCGAGCGUUGUCCGGAAUUACUGGGCGUAAAGGGCUCGUAGGUGGUUUGUCGCGUCGUCUGUGAAAUUCCGGGGCUUAACUCCGGGCGUGCAGGCGAUACGGGCAUAACUUGAGUACUGUAGGGGUAACUGGAAUUCCUGGUGUAGCGGUGAAAUGCGCAGAUAUCAGGAGGAACACCGAUGGCGAAGGCAGGUUACUGGGCAGUUACUGACGCUGAGGAGCGAAAGCAUGGGUAGCGAACAGGAUUAGAUACCCUGGUAGUCCAUGCCGUAAACGGUGGGCGCUAGGUGUGAGUCCCUUCCACGGGGUUCGUGCCGUAGCUAACGCAUUAAGCGCCCCGCCUGGGGAGUACGGCCGCAAGGCUAAAACUCAAAGGAAUUGACGGGGGCCCGCACAAGCGGCGGAGCAUGUGGAUUAAUUCGAUGCAACGCGAAGAACCUUACCUGGGCUUGACAUACACCAGAUCGCCGUAGAGAUACGGUUUCCCUUUGUGGUUGGUGUACAGGUGGUGCAUGGUUGUCGUCAGCUCGCGUCGUGAGAUGUUGGGUUAAGUCCCGCAACGAGCGCAACCCUUGUCUUAUGUUGCCAGCAAUUUGGUUGGGGACUCGUGAGAGACUGCCGGGGUUAACUCGGAGGAAGGUGGGGAUGACGUCAAAUCAUCAUGCCCCUUAUGUCCAGGGCUUCACACAUGCUACAAUGGUCGGUACAACGCGUUUGCGGGCCUGUGAGGGUGAGCUAAUCGCUGAAAGCCGGUCGUAGUUCGGAUUGGGGUCUGCAACUCGACCCCAUGAAGUCGGAGUCGCUAGUAAUCGCAGAUCAGCAACGCUGCGGUGAAUACGUUCCCGGGCCUUGUACACACCGCCCGUCACGUCAUGAAAGUUGGUAACACCCGAAGCCAGUGGCCUGUUAAAGGGAGCUGUCGAAGGUGGGAUCGGCGAUUGGGACGAAGUCGUAACAAGGUA